rnacentral:piRNA from 1 species
UAAAAGCAUGGUCCUGUAAUGGUCUGGGUGU